rnacentral:rRNA from 1 species
GACGAACGCUGGCGGCGUGCUUAACACAUGCAAGUCGAACGGAAGGGCCCUGCUUUUGUUGGGCGCUUGAUUGGCGAACGGGUGAGUAACACGUGUGUAUCCUGCCCCUGACUUUGGGAUAACUUCAGGAAACUGGGGCGAAUACCCGAUAGGAGCUUCUGCUGCAUGUUGGGGGUUGGUAAGUUUCGGUGGUUGGGGCUGGACUCGCGGCUUAUCAGCUUGUUGGUGGGGUAGUGGCUUACCAAGGCUUCGAAGGGUAGCCGGCCUGAGAGGGUGACCGGCCACAUUGGGACUGAGAUACGGCCCAGACUCCUACGGGAGGCAGCAGUGGGGAAUAUUGCACAAUGGGCGGAAGCCUGAUGCAGCAACGCCGCGUGCGGGAUGACGGCCUUCGGGUUGUAAACCGCUUUCGCCUGUGACGAAGCGUGAGUGACGGUAAUGGGUAAAGAAGCACCGGCUAACUACGUG